GUGCCAGCCGCCGCGGUAAUACGGAGGGGGCUAGCGUUGUUCGGAAUUACUGGGCGUAAAGCGCACGUAGGCGGCUUUGUAAGUUAGAGGUGAAAGCCCGGGGCUCAACUCCGGAAUUGCCUUUAAGACUGCAUCGCUAGAAUUGUGGAGAGGUAAGUGGAAUUCCGAGUGUAGAGGUGAAAUUCGUAGAUAUUCGGAAGAACACCAGUGGCGAAGGCGACUUACUGGACACAUAUUGACGCUGAGGUGCGAAAGCGUGGGGAGCAAACAGGAUUAGAUACCCCUGUAGUC
rnacentral:rRNA from 1 species